UACGGGGGGAGCAAGCGUUGUUCGGAUUUACUGGGCGUAAAGGGCGCGUAGGCGGCCCGCGAGGUCGGGGGUGAAAUCCCACGGCUCAACCGUGGAAGGGCCUCCGAUACCGGCGGGCUGGAGGAAGGUAGGGGUGCGCGGAACUUCUGGUGGAGCGGUGAAAUGCGUUGAUAUCAGAAGGAACGCCGGCGGCGAAAGCGGCGCACUGGACCUUUUCUGACGCUGAGGCGCGAAAGCCAGGGGAGCAAACGGG
rnacentral:rRNA from 1 species